rnacentral:rRNA from 1 species
AUUGAACGCUGGCGGCAGGCCUAACACAUGCAAGUCGAGCGGAGCGGCGGACGGGGGAGUAAUGCCUAGGUAUAUGCCUGGGAGUGGGGGAUGACGUCAGGAAACGGGCGCUAAUACCGCAUACUAUCAGAUUAGCCUAGGUCGGAUUAGCGAGCGGUGGGGUAAAGGCCUAAAAAGGCGACGAUCCGUAACUGGUCUGAGAGGAUGAUCAGUGACACUGGAACUGAGACACGGUCCAGACUCCUACGGGAGGCAGCAGUGGGGAAUAUUGGACAAUGGGCGGAAGCCUGAUCCAGCCAUGCCGCGUGUGUGAAGAAGGUCUUCGGAUUGUAAAGCACUUUAAGUUGGGAGGCGUUACCAACAGAAUAAGCACCGGCUAACUUCGUGCCAGUCGCCGCGGUAAUAC